rnacentral:tRNA from 1 species
GGGGGCGUAGCUCAGCGGGAGAGCACCUGCUUUGCACGCAGGGGGUCAGGGGUUCGAGUCCCCUCGCCUCCACCA